GUGUCAGCAGCCGCGGUAAUACGUAGGGUGCGAGCGUUAAUCGGAAUUACUGGGCGUAAAGCGUGCGCAGGCGGCUUUGCAAGACAGAGGUGAAAUCCCCGGGCUCAACCUGGGAACUGCCUUUGUGACUGCAAGGCUAGAGUACGGCAGAGGGGGAUGGAAUUCCGCGUGUAGCAGUGAAAUGCGUAGAUAUGCGGAGGAACACCAAUGGCGAAGGCAAUCCCCUGGGCCUGUACUGACGCUCAUGCACGAAAGCGUGGGGAGCAAACAGGAUUAGAUACCCGCGUAGUCC
rnacentral:rRNA from 1 species